UCUGCCAUUGAGCUACACUAACAUUUAAAAAACAUCGUUGAGGCUGGAGAGUUUGCUCAGCAGUUAAAACACACAACCUGCUCUUCCACAGGACCCAAGUUUGGCUGCCAGCACCUGUGUCAGGUGGCCUGUGAUCUCAGUUCUAGGAGAUGCCUCUGGUCUCCUCAGGUGCUGCGUUCUGUUUACCCACUGUGCUGCUUAACUUUGAUGUCAACUUGAUAGGCCAUCGAAUCACUGUGGAAACCAAUUUCUGGGCAGGUGUGGAAGAGAUUCUCUAGAUUAGCUGGGAUUAAAGGCCUGUGCCACCACCGCCUUGCAUCGCAGUGGAUGGACUACAGAGAGCUGCUGAGUCCCUAUCAUACUGAACUGUGGAAGUGUUUGCCGCAUGCAGGCACUGCUCUAGGUACUGGGAACCCAGCAGUAACAAAACAGAUCAAAGAUACAGUGUAUGAAGGAGAGCACCACCGUCAAGAGGCAUCUGGAAAGGUCCAGACAGAAGCCAGCCAUGAGAGGAGAGGAAGGUGACCGGGGAGAGAGGGAGAGAGAGAAGGAGAGAGAGACCAGGAGCCCAGAGACCAGGAGGCUAAGGCCACAUAGCCAAACUGGUGGAGGUUACAUAGGACGCCUCUGCAACCCAGGAAAUGCAACCUGCAACACACCCAGGCAGUACGUUUCUGCACCGUGUAAGGGAAGCACUCUUGCAUAGAUUUCGAUGUGGAAAAACGUUCCAUAAAAACACUCCGGUGAUAGGAGUUUUUCAGCCCCAUUAUGAGCUUAUGAAACCAC